UACGUAGGGUCCGAGCGUUGUCCGGAAUCAUUGGGCGUAAAGGGCGCGUAGGCGGCACUGUUAGUCAGGCGUGAAAGUCCUGGGCUCAACCUGGGAACUGCGCUUGAUACGGCAGAGCUAGAGGAUGGAAGAGGCUCGCGGAAUUCCCAGUGUAGAGGUGAAAUUCGUAGAUAUUGGGAAGAACACCGGUGGCGAAGGCGGCGAGCUGGUCCAUUACUGACGCUGAGGCGCGACAGCGUGGGGAGCAAACAGG
rnacentral:rRNA from 1 species